rnacentral:rRNA from 1 species
AUUGAACGCUGGCGGCAGGCCUAACACAUGCAAGUCGAACGAGUGGCGGACGGGUGAGUAAUGUCUGGGAAACUGCCUGAUGGAGGGGGAUAACUACUGGAAACGGUAGCUAAUACCGCAUACCAUCAGAUGUGCCCAGAUGGGCUUAGCUUGUUGGUGGGGUAACGGCUCAACAAGGCGACGAUCCCUAGCUGGUCUGAGGGGAUGACCGGCCACACUGGAACGGAGACAGGGUCCGGACUCCUACGGGUGGCAGCGGUGGGGAGAAUUGCACAUUGGGCGCAAGCCUGAUGCAGCCAUGCGGGGUGUAUGAAGAAGGCCUUCGGGUUGUAAAGUACUUUCAGCGGGGAGGCGUUACCCGCAGAAGAAGCACCGGCUAACUCCGUGCCAGCAGCCGCGGUAAUAC